rnacentral:rRNA from 1 species
GAUGAACGCUAGCUACAGGCUUAACACAUGCAAGUCGAGGGGCAGCAUGGUCUUAGCUUGCUAAGGCCGAUGGCGACCGGCGCACGGGUGAGUAACACGUAUCCAACCUGCCGUCUACUCUUGGACAGCCUUCUGAAAGGAAGAUUAAUACGAGAUGGCAUCAUGAGUCCGCAUGUUCACAUGAUUAAAGGUAUUCCGGUAGACGAUGGGGAUGCGUUCCAUUAGAUAGUAGGCGGGGUAACGGCCCACCUAGUCUUCGAUGGAUAGGGGUUCUGAGAGGAAGGUCCCCCACAUUGGAACUGAGACACGGUCCAAACUCCUACGGGAGGCAGCAGUGAGGAAUAUUGGUCAAUGGGCGAGAGCCUGAACCAGCCAAGUAGCGUGAAGGAUGACUGCCCUAUGGGUUGUAAACUUCUUUUAUAAAGGAAUAAAGUCGGGUAUGGAUACCCGUUUGCAUGUACUUUAUGAAUAAGGAUCGGCUAACUCCGUGCCAGCAGCCGCGGUAAUACGGAGGAUCCGAGCGUUAUCCGGAUUUAUUGGGUUUAAAGGGAGCGUAGAUGGAUGUUUAAGUCAGUUGUGAAAGUUUGCGGCUCAACCGUAAAAUUGCAGUUGAUACUGGAUAUCUUGAGUGCAGUUGAGGCAGGCGGAAUUCGUGGUGUAGCGGUGAAAUGCUUAGAUAUCACGAAGAACUCCGAUUGCGAAGGCAGCCUGCUAAGCUGCAACUGACAUUGAGGCUCGAAAGUGUGGGUAUCAAACAGGAUUAGAUACCCUGGUAGUCCACACGGUAAACGAUGAAUACUCGCUGUUUGCGAUAUACUGCAAGCGGCCAAGCGAAAGCGUUAAGUAUUCCACCUGGGGAGUACGCCGGCAACGGUGAAACUCAAAGGAAUUGACGGGGGCCCGCACAAGCGGAGGAACAUGUGGUUUAACUCGAUGAUACGCGAGGAACCUUACCCGGGCUUAAAUUGCAGAUGAAUUACGGUGAAAGCCGUAAGCCGCAAGGCAUCUGUGAAGGUGCUGCAUGGUUGUCGUCAGCUCGUGCCGUGAGGUGUCGGCUUAAGUGCCAUAACGAGCGCAACCCUUGUUGUCAGUUACUAACAGGUUCCGCUGAGGACUCUGACAAGACUGCCAUCGUAAGAUGUGAGGAAGGUGGGGAUGACGUCAAAUCAGCACGGCCCUUACGUCCGGGGCUACACACGUGUUACAAUGGGGGGUGCAGAGGGCCGCUACCACGCGAGUGGAUGCCAAUCCCCAAAACCUCUCUCAGUUCGGACUGGAGUCUGCAACCCGACUCCACGAAGCUGGAUUCGCUAGUAAUCGCGCAUCAGCCACGGCGCGGUGAAUACGUUCCCGGGCCU